UACGUAGGGCGCAAGCGUUAUCCGGAAUCACUGGGCGUAAAGGGCGCGUAGGCGGCCUGAUAAGUAGGGGGUGAAAUCUUGCGGCUUAACCGCAAGGCUGCCUUCUAAACUGUCAGGCUAGAGCACAGUAGAGGCAGGUGGAAUUCCCGGUGUAGCGGUGGAAUGCGUAGAGAUCGGGAAGAACAUCAGUGGCGAAGGCGGCCUGCUGGGCUGUUGCUGACGCUGAGGCGCGACAGCGGUGGGGGAGCAAACAGG
rnacentral:rRNA from 1 species